rnacentral:rRNA from 1 species
GACGAACGCUGGCGGCGUGCUUAACACAUGCAAGUCGAACGAAAAUACCAAGCUUGCUUGGUUGAUUAGUGGCGAACGGGUGAGUAACACGUGAGUAACCUGCCCCUUACUUUCCUGGAUAACUGCUCGAAAGGGUAGCUAAUACGGGAUAUUCUGACCAGCCUGCAUGGGUUGGUUUGGAAAGGUUGUUUUUCUGGUAAGGGAUGGGCUCGCGGCCGAUCAGCUUGUUGGUGGGGUGAUGGCCUACCAAGGCUUGGACGGGUAGCCGGCCGGGGGGGGUGGGAGGUCACACUGGGACGGGGAUACGGCCCAGACUCCUACGGGAGGAAGCAGUGGGGAAUAUUGCACAAUGGGCGCAAGCCUGAUGCAGCGACGCCGCGUGAGGGAUGAAGGCGUUCGGGUUGUAAACCUCUUUCGUCAGGGAACAAGGCACUGCUUUUUUGGUGGUGUUGAGGGUACCUGGAUAAGAAGCGCCGGCUAACUACGUG